GACGUAGGGCGCGAGCGUUGUCCGGAUUUAUUGGGCGUAAAGAGCUCGUAGGCGGUUUGUCGCGUCGACUGUGAAAACCCGCAGCUCAACUGCGGGCCUGCAGCCGAUACGGGCAGGCUAGAGUUCGGUAGGGGAGACUGGAAUUCCUGGUGUAGCGGUGAAAUGCGCAGAUAUCAGGAGGAACACCGGUGGCGAAGGCGGAUCUCUGGACAGCUCCUGACGCUGAGGCGCGAAGGCUAGGGGAGCAAACGGG
rnacentral:rRNA from 1 species